UGAGGGAAAGUUGCAAAGAACUUUGAAGAGAGAGUUCAAGAGUACGUGAAACUGCUCAGAGGCAAACGAGUGGGCCCUCGAAAUCCCGUUGCGAGGGGAUUCAGUCGGAAGGCGGGGACGCGGGGCGACGCUCCCGACGGGAUUCCGCUGGCGCGACGCGCCGCACCCGUCGCCCGACGCAUUUCCCCUCGCACAGUGGACGCCGCAGCCGGUUGGGAGUCGGCCAUGAGGACCCGCGCCGGCAGGUGACUGUGGACUCGCUCCGCGCGCAGUUCGCAGUUGUUAGCCAGCGGGUCUGGGGCGCGACGCCCGACCGAGGAGAAGGAGCCCCGUACGGGGCUCUCGCCGUGCACUCGCGUGUAGAGUGGCGCGGUUGAGGCAGGAUGAUCGACUCGGACGGAACCACCCGAGUCUGGUGGCUCGUCCUUGAGUGACUCCGUUCGCCUCCCGCGGCCGCUGCGGGCGCUAACGGCUGGCGGCGAGUAGGUCGGUCACCCACUCGUCCCGUCUUGAAACACGGACCAAGGAGUCUAGCAUGUGCGCGAGUCGCAGGGUCUUGAAUAGGCCCGGGGGCGCAAUGAAAGUGGAGGCGGAUCUCCCCUUCCGGGGAGUUCCCUGCCGCGUUGGGAUCCCCGACCCUGAGGUCGGGGCGCACCAACGGCCCGUGUCGGAUUCAUCGACGGCCCGGAGCCGGAGCGCACACGCUGGGACCCGAAAGAUGGUGAACUAUGCCCGGGCAGAACGAAGCCAGGGGAAACCCUGGUGGAGGUUCGCAGCGGUUCUGACGUGCAAAUCGAUCGUCAGACCUGGG
rnacentral:rRNA from 1 species